CCGCGUGAGCGAAGAAGGCCUUCGGGUCGUAAAGCUCUGUUGUUAGGGAAGAACAAGUAUCGGAGUAACUGCCGGUACCUUGACGGUACCUAACCAGAAAGCCACGGCUAACUACGUGCCAGCAGCCGCGGUAAUACGUAGGUGGCAAGCGUUGUCCGGAAUUAUUGGGCGUAAAGCGCGCGCAGGCGGUCCUUUAAGUCUGAUGUGAAAGCCCACGGCUCAACCGUGGAGGGUCAUUGGAAACUGGGGGACUUGAGUGCAGAAGAGGAGAGUGGAAUUCCACGUGUAGCGGUGAAAUGCGUAGAGAUGUGGAGGAACACCAGUGGCGAAGGCGACUCUCUGGUCUGUAACUGACGCUGAGGCGCGAAAGCGUGGGGAGCAAACAGGAUUAGAUACCCUGGUAGUCCACGCCGUAAACGAUGAGUGCUAAGUGUUAGAGGGUUUCCGCCCUUUAGUGCUGCAGCUAACGCAUUAAGCACUCCGCCUGGGGAGUACGGCCGCAAGGCUG
rnacentral:rRNA from 1 species